UUUUCUGUGGCUUAGUUGGUUAAAGUAGCGAUACUGAGUCGUGGGUUCGAACCCCACCAAAACAA
rnacentral:tRNA from 1 species